CUUACUCCAGGCCUCCUCCUAGUAGAAUUGGAGUCCUGACCAUUUCAUUUUCAUCAUUACUUGGCAUUCACCUAUUCUCUCUCUACAAAACCUCCUCCCAAGCCCAACCCAAAUUAAAACCCUCGUCUUUUCCUUAUGAAUAAGCCGCCGUCAACUCUUCAAUUCCCUUCUCCAUUGAAUCAAUGCUCUGUCAUUUUUCUCCAUUAAAUCGAAAUACUACAUUUAUUCUAAGAAUGGUAAAAUGGGCUCUUUCUCUCCUCUUAUACAUGCUUGCUUUUUAUCCUCUUUUUUUUCCCAAUUUUGAGAAAAUAGCUAUUUGAUAUGUUUCGUCGACGGUUCAAUAAUAGAUCUGCAAAUUAUGAAGAAUUUUUGUCUAAUUUAUGACUGAAAUUCUGAUUAAAAUUAAGGGUUUGUAAGAUUUCGUCAUAGAAAAUUCUCAAACAGAGGAGAUUGGAAAUGGAGUAUUCAAGCCUUGUUGUUGUAUGGUGUUAUUGUAAUUGUAAAAUUUCAGUAAAUUCGUAUUUUUUUUUUGCAAAUUUAUAUUGGAUUUUAUUGUAUCUCGCAUCAAUUUUAAUUUAAUCCGUUGCUAUUUUCUG